rnacentral:rRNA from 1 species
GUGGGGAAUAUUGGACAAUGGGCGCAAGCCUGAUCCAGCCAUGCCGCGUGUGUGAAGAAGGCCUUCGGGUUGUAAAGCACUUUUGUUGGGAAAGAAAUCCUGUCGGCUAAUACCCGGCGGGGAUGACGGUACCCAAAGAAUAAGCACCGGCUAACUUCGUGCCAGCAGCCGCGGUAAUACGAAGGGUGCAAGCGUUACUCGGAAUUACUGGGCGUAAAGCGUGCGUAGGUGGUUCGUUAAGUCAGAUGUGAAAGCCCCGGGCUCAACCUGGGAAUUGCAUUUGAUACUGGCGGACUAGAGUGCGGUAGAGGAGAGUGGAAUUCCCGGUGUAGCGGUGAAAUGCGUAGAGAUCGGGAGGAACACCAGUGGCGAAGGCGGCUCACUGGCUCGAUACUGACGCUGAGGUGCGAAAGCGUGGGGAGCAAACAGGAUUAGAUACCCCUGUAGUCC